CACGUAGGGCGCAAGCGUUGUCCGGAAUUAUUGGGCGUAAAGAGCUCGUAGGCGGUCUGUUGCGUCCGCUGUGAAAACCCGGGGCUUAACCCUGGGCUGGCAGUGGAUACGGACAGACUAGAGGUAGGUAGGGGAGAAUGGAAUUCCCGGUGUAGCGGUGAAAUGCGCAGAUAUCGGGAGGAACACCUGUGGCGAAGGCGGCCCCCUGGUUGGAUACUGACGCUGAGACGCGAAAGCGUGGGGAGCAAACAGG
rnacentral:rRNA from 1 species